rnacentral:rRNA from 1 species
CAGCAGCCGCGGUAAUACCAGCCCCGCGAGUGGUCGGGACGAUUAUUGGGCCUAAAGCGUCCGUAGCCGGCCCGGCAAGUCCCUCUUUAAAGCCCACGGCUCAACCGUGGGAGCGGAGGGAUACUGCCGGGCUAGGGGGCGGGAGAGGCCGGGGGUACUCCUGGGGUAGGGGUGAAAUCCUAUAAUCCCGGGAGGACCACCUGUGGCGAAGGCGCUCGGCUGGAACGCGUCCGACGGUGAGGGACGAAGGCCAGGGGAGCAAACCGGAUUAGAUACCCGGGUAGUCCUGGCUGUAAACGAUGCGGACGUUGUGUCGGACAAGCUAUGAGCUUGUCCGGUGCCGGAGGGAAACCGUUAAGUCCGCCGCCUGGGGAGUACGGCCGCAAGGCUGAAACUUAAAGGAAUUGGCGGG